AAGAUGAUUGCUGGAUUGUAUGGUAAGAGUGUGUUUAAUUUUUAAAGAAACUGCUAAAUUGUUUUCUAAAGUGGCUGUACCAUUUUGCAUUCCCACCAGCAAU
rnacentral:pre_miRNA from 1 species